rnacentral:rRNA from 1 species
UACCAGCUCUCCGAGUGGUAGGGAUGAUUAUUGGGCUUAAAGCGUCCGUAGCCGGCUUAGCAAGUCUCCUGUUAAAUUCAGCGACCUAAUCGUUGACCCGCGGGAGAUACUACUAGGCUAGGAGGCGGGAGAGGUCAACGGUACUUCCGGGGUAGGGGUGAAAUCCUAUAAUCCCGGGAGGACCACCAGUGGCGAAGGCUGUUGACUAGAACGCGCUCGACGGUGAGGGACGAAAGCUGGGGGAGCGAACCGGAUUAGAUACCCGGGUAGUCCCAGCUGUAAACGAUGCGGGCUAGGUGUUGGGGUGGCUACGUGCCACUUCAGUGCCGCAGGGAAGCCAUUAAGCCCGCCGCCUGGGGAGUACGGCCGCAAGGCUGAAACUUAAGGAUUGGCGGGGAGCACCACAAGGCGUGAAGCUUGCGGUUC